rnacentral:rRNA from 1 species
CCUACGGGGGGCAGCAGUCGAGAAUCAUUCACAAUGGGGGAAACCCUGAUGGUGCGACGCCGCGUGGGGGAAUGAAGGUCUUCGGAUUGUAAACCCCUGUCAUGUGGGAGCAAAUUAAAAAGAUCGUACCACACGAGGAAGAGACGGCUAACUCUGUGCCAGCAGCCGCGGUAAUACAGAGGUCUCAAGCGUUGUUCGGAAUCACUGGGCGUAAAGCGUGCGUAGGCUGUUUCGUAAGUCGUGUGUGAAAGGCGCGGGCUCAACCCGCGGACGGCACAUGAUACUGCGAGACUAGAGUAAUGGAGGGGGAACCGGAAUUCUCGGUGUAGCAGUGAAAUGCGUAGAUAUCGAGAGGAACACUCGUGGCGAAGGCGGGUUCCUGGACAUUAACUGACGCUGAGGCACGAAGGCCAGGGGAGCGAAAGGGAUUAGAUACCCCGGUAGUC